GCUCACCUUGAGAAGCUGCGCUCUCGUAGAAUCUCUGGCGGUCCAAGGAGGUUCUAUUGACUCUGUUCUGGCUAAUAUCAUGUUCUAUAACUCGGGAACUUUUCACUCGCUCACGCAAAGGAUGUGGAGGUGCUGAAAGUAGCACGCACGAAGGUUUGACCAACUUCAGAAAGAAAUCGCCAGUGUAAUCACCAGGAUAUAAACAGGCGAUUGCAGUAUAACACGAGUUUGUCAGCUUUAUAACAGUAAACUACAAAGUGACGCGGCUUUGGCUGCCGAAGAAAGGAAGACGCAGAAAGGGAAGGAUGCUUUGCAAGCUGAAGAUGAAGUCAAUAAAUGACGAACUUUCUCUUUUGCGGGCGGAGCUCCUUCGCGUCUCAGAAGAAAAGGACAACUA